AACGUAGGUGGCAAGCGUUAUCCGGAAUUACUGGGCGUAAAGCGUGCGUAGGCGGUUCGCUGUGUCCGAUGUGAAAGCCCCGGGCUUAACCUGGGAAUGGCAUUGGAAACUGGCGGGCUUGAGUGCGGCAGAGGGGGGUGGAAUUCCGCGUGUAGCAGUGAAAUGCGUAGAGAUGCGGAGGAACACCGAUGGCGAAGGCAGCCCCCUGGGUCGACACUGACGCUCAGGCACGAAAGCGUGGGGAGCAAACAGG
rnacentral:rRNA from 1 species